rnacentral:scRNA from 1 species
UCGGCAGCGGCACCGGAAACGAUGUGCUGUAA